AACUGAUACUACCUGCGGGAACCUGCGGAAGGAUCAUUCAUAAUAAAAGUGAAAUAAAUUAUGGCACUUUUAAAACAAUCCAUAUCCACCUUGUGUGCAAUGUUUUUUUUAUAUCAACUCUUUUAAAUACAAAUUGAUCUGAAAUUAUUUUAUAUGAAUACUUAAUUCAAAAAUAUAACUUUCAACAACGGAUCUCU
rnacentral:misc_RNA from 1 species